rnacentral:misc_RNA from 1 species
AUUCAAUUCCCCAAAAUCCCUUAUUUUUCCAUCCAAAAACAACAUGAAGAACUCACUUCUCUUAGCAGCCUCUGUUUCUGCUGCCGCCACCGCCACCGCCACCGUCUCUUCUGUAUCCAAAGUUCGAAUUUCUCUUCACAAGGACGAUAAUUUGAAGAAAAAUGAUGAAGAUUGUUCAAAAUCGGUGAAAGCAUCAACAUCUACAGAUAAAUUUGCGCCCAGAUUUGAUGGAUUGAGGUUU